GUGAGGAAUAUUGCGCAAUGGAGGCAACUCUGACGCAGCCAUGCCGCGUGCAGGAAGAAGGCGCUACGCGUUGUAAACUGCUUUUAACCGGGAAGAAACCCCAGGACGUGUCCUGGGUUGACGGUACCGGAGGAAUAAGCACCGGCUAACUUCGUGCCAGCAGCCGCGGUAAUACGAAGGGUGCAAGCGUUAUCCGGAUUCAUUGGGUUUAAAGGGUGCGUAGGCGGAGCGUUAAGUCAGUGGUGAAAUCCUGCAGCUUAACUGUAGACUUGCCAUUGAUACUGGCGCUCUUGAGUGUGCUUGAAGUGGGCGGAAUGUGCCGUGUAGCGGUGAAAUGCUUAGAUAUGACACAGAACACCAAUUGCGAAGGCAGCUCACUAAGGCGAUACUGACGCUGAGGCACGAAAGCGUGGGGAUCGAACAGGAUUAGAACCCUAGUAGUCC
rnacentral:rRNA from 1 species